AAAUUCAUCUUCAAUAUCAGAUUGAGAAAAAGUUUUGAUUGGAAAUAUAAGAAGCCACGCACUCGAAUAAUAAUAAUUAAAUUUAAGCAUUUUGGACAGGUUGUUUGGGCCAAAUCUAUUAUUAUUACUAGCGGGUCGGAUUGUUACAUUUCGUAUCAGAGCCGUACUAACCAGAAGUGUGAGAGCUAACUACUACUCAGGACGAAGUGCUACACCAUGUGUUUGGUGGGAGCCACCUCUUGAACCUGCAAGAGUCACUUCUAAAAUUUCACAUUAUCUGGUAAUUCUAAUCUAUAUGUGUAAUUAGAUUUGAAUCUAACGAGAAUGUUGAGAUCUAAACAGGAGAAGUCUGUAACACUCUAAUAGCUUCACAUGGGAUGAAAAGGAGUUUUGAUUGAGAAUAUAAUUAAGAAAUCACACACCCUAUGCAUUUUGGGCCGGUCGGUGGUUUUUGCCUAAUGAGUUAUUAUUGUUAACGGCUCGGAUCGUUACACUUCACUGGUUUACUUUUAAAAACAACUUUCACAUUCACUUUAAUAAAUCAAGAUAAUCGAAAAGAUGUCACUUUACGAAAAUAACAUU
rnacentral:lncRNA from 1 species